AAAAAAAAAAAAAAAAAAAAGAAGAAAAAAAUUGAAUGAGGAAGUUGAGAUUGAAAAUGUGUUAUAAAGAAGGAAGAAAGAGAGAGAUUGAGGUGGUGAAAGCCAAUUUUAGGGUAAAGAAAGAAGAAGAAGGGAUUUUUAGGGUGGAGUCCUACAAAUGAGGGACAACAGAGUAAGCUUAGAGAUGUAUUUUUAACGUUAAUGGGAAAGAGGCGUGAGAUGUGGAAGGAAGUUUGAGUUUUGAGGAUUUUAUUUGUAUUUUUAAGUUGGGAAAUGAUGUGGAUUGUGGUGGAGAGCAUUUACUCAAUUUAUUUGGCUUAUUCUCUUCCUUACGUAAUUAGCAUUAGCUUAAUCAUUCUUUUGGAUGGAUAUAUACACCACCUCAAAUAAUAAAAAAAAUAUCUCAAUUCAUAUGAAAAAUAUUAAAUGAAAAAAUCUUA
rnacentral:lncRNA from 1 species